GCAUUAGUUGGGCACUCUAAGGGGACUGCCGGUGAUAAGCCGAGAGGAAGUGGGGAUGACGUCAAGUCCUCAUGGCCCUUACGGGCUGGGCUACACACGUGCUACAAUGGUGGUGACAGUGGGCAGCGAGCACGCGAGUGUGAGCUAAUCUCCAAAAGCCAUCUCAGUUCGGAUUGCACUCUGCAACUCGAGUGCAUGAAGUUGGAAUCGCUAGUAAUCGCGGAUCAGCAUGCCGCGGUGAAUACGUUCCCGGGCCUU
rnacentral:rRNA from 1 species